rnacentral:rRNA from 1 species
UACGUAGGGGGCAAGCGUUGUCCGGAUUUAUUGGGCGUAAAGAGCGUGUAGGCGGCUAGAUAGGUCCGUUGUGAAAACUCGAGGCUCAACCUCGAGACGUCGAUGGAAACCAUCUGGCUAGAGUCCGGAAGAGGAGAGUGGAAUUCCUGGUGUAGCGGUGAAAUGCGUAGAUAUCGUAAGGAAGACCAGUGGCGAAGGCGGGUCUCUGGACAGUUCCUGACGCUGAGGCACGAAGGCCAGGGGAGCAAACGGG